AAUUUAAAAAAAAAAUAUAUAGCCUUUUAACUCAAGGUGCUUAUGCCUUGAUCUGUCCUGCUGCUCAUACCCAAUUUUUUCAUCCCUGAGGUUUUUUUUGUUAAAGCAGGACAAAGGCUCUUCCUCAAGAUCCAAAUUUGGGUCACAGAGCAGUUAUAUAGAGGGUUAAAACAACAAAAUUGGGUAACAGGUAGCAAGUGCCAAGGGUACAACAUUUUUUUGGAUUUUAUGUUAUUCUAUGUACAGCUGGGUUUAACAGAAAUUAGUUCUGCCCAUUGAUAUAUUACAAUAUAUAUUGCAUUAUUGCAUAUUAUCUUGUAUUGAAGCCGGGUGUUAAUUACCACUAGAAGAUCUGGAUGACUAAAUUUAGAAUUGAAAAAGAUUUGAAGAUGUCCGAAAGUGAGUUAUGCACGUUUGGAAUGAUUCUGACAGGAACGGCCCUAGUGGUUGCCGAUGGCUUGUCACCUACUCGGAAUGAUUCUCUUUUGCAAAUUUGUUGAUGGUAAAGAUGAAUAGUUUGGAGUAUUUGGUAUCUGUACUGCAUCCUGGGAUAGAGCAGACCGUUUUAAAGUCUUCCGGGUGCCUUUAGACUGACGACAGAUCUUUGAGUCAUACAUGUUUUUCAACUGUUUGGUAUGGCUGAAUGCUCGAAUUUUUACAUAUUUUGAAACUAUCAAUUCCAUAGCUGAAAAAACUUGAGUAUUGUCAUAGUUACUAUGAAAGGAAAUGUUUGAAACAAUACUUGUCAGGGCGUACUGUUUCAUUGUGUUAAUGACAAUU